rnacentral:lncRNA from 1 species
AUGGAGGGAGGGGUGGGGGGCAGCCCAGCUCAGUGGCUUGAAGCCCGAGGUGAGGAGAGCAUCCAUGUGGGUACAGCCUGGGCGGGUGUCCUGCAGGGUCAGAAGAUCUGCCAGAGCACCCUGUGGCUGGUGAACCAGAAUCAAAAAGGAAGCAGGAGAAGAAGUCUGCCACAUCCUCAGGAAGCAGCCGUUGCUGCCUCCCGCAGCGCCAUGCAGCUUGCACGGGCUGGGAGGAGCUCUCCUGGUGGAGCUGAGCCCAGGCUGAGAAGAACGGGGCAUGUGCUGCGCUCCAGACUGCAGGCAAACAAGGAUACGUUCCCUCAAAUCUACAUCUCGGGGAGAAAGAAUCAGAACAUGGGAGGGGCCCGAACAGACAAUGGGCACCAGAGGCAAACUCAGCAGGUGAUGGGUGAGGUGUCCCUGGAGCCUGGGGGUGGGGAGAGGGAACGUGGCAUCCUGACAUGGCAGUCAGCACCCAUGCCAGCAGAGCUGCCGAGCACACGCCCGGGAGAAAGCCAGGAGGUCAUCCCAAGCCUGUGGAAGUUCAUUCACACUGUGCAAUAAGCAGAUAGACAAAAUCUGAAAAGUCAAUCAAUUAAAUCCUGCUUGGAGGGUGUUGAGAAGAACUCCCUACUGUGGGGGAUGGGAACUGGUCGCCCCGAAAUGCGUUUCUUUGGCAUAAGGAUUAUUUGGGGCUGGUUACUUUCAAAAACUGCAGACAUGGGAGAAGCUCUGAAAACCACCCUUUGUAAGAAACAUUCACAUCGUUAAGGGAAACCUCCGUCUGUAAAGGUGUCUCCCUCUCUGUACCAGGAAGAGGGGGAUGACCUUAUCUCCAGGAACUUUUAUCAAUGCAGAAGGCAAGCGCUUAAAUCUACCUAACCACCUUACUCUUGCUUACUGUGCUUUCCUGGUAAUCUCCCAUAACUGACUCCCCCCGCCCCCAACAUCCUCCUUUGUCUUUAGCUGAAGAUGAUUUUUAAAGUGGCAGCUUUGGCCAUUCUGGUGAGUUACCCAGUUUCCCUCAGCCUCUCCCAUGUAUACAUGUUUUAAAGCUCUGUUUGAUUUUCUCCCGUUCUUCUCUCUCCUAUGAAUUUAAUUCGUAGCCCAGCCAGAAGGACCCAGGGGGUAGAGGAUGUGUCUUCCUCCCCUACAGGACUUAAAGGGGAUCCUAUAGUGAAACAGGCUGUAUUGUACGUCAGAGAGUCACCCAAUGAUUCUUCUGUUGGAUAAACUGAAUUUUCAUUACAGGGUUUAUGGUAUUCCCAGUUCUUCCUCGUGUAGUCAUUUGAAGCAAUGAACAACGGUUAAAUGCACACUGAGUGCCAGAUGGCAUGCUUGUUCAUUCGUUCACUCAAUAUCCACCGCCCCAGGGGCACACGACGUCAGACAGGCCCUGCCCUCCAAGAGCUCACCCCCUACCCGAAUAACCACCGGGCGGUGACAACAAGCGCCAGUCACACUCUGGCUAAGCUGGUAGCUGGACAUCUCCCGGUCUCAAAGGGCAGUUCCAGACCAGAAGCACUGGCAUCACCCAGAGCCUCUGAGAAAUCCAGCUCUCAAGUCCCACCUGAGCCCUGCCGAGUCAGAAUCCGAAAUUUAACAGGGUCCUGGGUGAUUCCUACGGAUGUUAAACUUUGAGAAGCCCUGGCCUAAACCUUCAGCUUCUGGUGGUAAAAGCGGCCUUCAUUCCCUGUUUAUUCUAAUGCAUAGAAUAAGCAGCGCUUCUGGGUAACACACGGCAGAUGGCAACCUAGCCGAGGUUCUGUCCUCUACAGAGAAAGGCAGUUCUCCAGUGAACUGCUUUCCUUUCCGUAGGGCUGUCAAGACCAUGAUUUGUGAAGACCUAACACUGAGUACUUAGUGCCAGGCUGGGAGCCAGGGGCUUUCCCGCGUGCUGUCUUCCGUAAGCCCCAAGCAGACCCUCUGAGCAGCUGCCGCCGGUCCAUUUCCAGGUGGCUGCAAGUCCAUGAACAAGCGGCAGCACUUGCUGGGUCUAAUGGCACAUUUGCAAUUGAGGAGCCAGGAGAAAAGAAAUUCAAUUAAACCAACAGGUGAUUAUCCCUCAUAAUGGAAAUGUUUCUUCUAAAACCCACCUAAUUGGAAUUUACCAACUGCACAUUGCAGUGGGAGACGCAGACGGCAGUCUCCUUCCAGAACAUCUUUAGGACACACGUGUCUGUCACUUCUGAUGAGACCAAGAAGUGUGCUUUCCUCACUGUCUUCGUGAAUAAACUUCGGCCUUAUUUUCUGACCCA